rnacentral:rRNA from 1 species
CCUUUGAUGGCGACCGGCGCACGGGUGAGUAACGCGUAUGCAACCUGCCCGAUACCGGGGUAUAGCCCAUGGAAACGUGGAUUAACACCCCAUAGUACUUUUAUCCUGCCUGGGAUGGGAGUUAAAUGUUCAAGGUAUCGGAUGGGCAUGCGUCCUAUUAGUUAGUUGGCGGGGUAACAGCCCACCAAGACGAUGAUAGGUAGGGGUUCUGAGAGGAAGGUCCCCCACAUUGGAACUGAGACACGGUCCAA